AACGCGAAGAACCUUACCAGGCCUUGACAUGUCUAGUAUGGAUCCCAGAGACGGGAUCCUUCAGUUCGGCUGGCUAGAACACAGGUGCUGCAUGGCUGUCGUCAGCUCGUGUCGUGAGAUGUUGGGUUAAGUCCCGCAACGAGCGCAACCCUCGUCCUUAGUUGCCAUCAUUAAGUUGGGAACUCUAAGGAAACUGCCUAUGAUAAGUAGGAGGAAGGUGGGGACGACGUCAAGUCAUCAUGGCCCUUACGGCCUGGGCUACACACGUGCUACAAUGGCGGUGACAAUGGGCAGCAAGCGCGCGAGCGUAAGCUAAUCCCUAAAAGCCGUCUCAGUUCGGAUUGUUCUCUGCAACUCGAGAACAUGAAGCUGGAAUCGCUAGUAAUCGUAGAUCAGCAUGCUACGGUGAAUACGUUCCCGGGUCUUGUACACACC
rnacentral:rRNA from 1 species